GUUUAAUAUGGUUUACCUACUAAAGAUAACUUAAAAUAUUGGUAAGUCAAAUAUUAAAAGAAGAUAUUAGUUUUCUUUAAUAAGAAACAGAUUCUGUUCAGUGGCCAGCCAUUCCAAAAAGGGGGUUCCCAACAUAAGAUAAAGCCUGAAAGGGGAGCUCCAUCCAAAUACACUGAUAAUCUUAAAAGGGGAGGUUCCCUACCCUGUAUCCACCACUGCUGUUUCAGAUACAUUUCUUAAAUUCCCCCCUUUCAGUCUAAAAGAAAGAAACAUUAACCUAGGGUACCCUUGCUACUGUACAAUUUAUAAUUUGAUGUUGCUCUGAUGUGGAUCAGCAUAUUUAUGCAUUAUGCAACAUGCAUUACAACGUUUGAUAUCGUGUUUCCUAGUUUGAAACAAUAUAGUCAUAAUUUGUGAGUCUAUACAUAUAAAAAAAGAAGAUGUGGUAAGAUUGCUUAUGAGACAUUUCUCCACGAGAGACCAAAUAGACACAGAAAUUAACAAUUAUAGGUCACCAUACUGCCUUCAACAAUGAACAAAGCCCCUACAGCCUAUCAACUAUAAAAGGCCCUGCAAAUACAAGGUAAACAAUUAAAACUAGAAAACUAAUCGCCUAGCUAAUUUAUGCAUUAAUAUUGUGCAAUAAAUCUGUUUAUGCUAUUAAAACAUUUCUUUCUUCUAAAUCUUUUACAUUUUGCAGGUAAAUUCACAAACAUUAAUGCAAACUGGCCAGGUAGCAGUCAUGAUUCCCACAUAUUCAGGACUUCACAGGUAUGUAUUUUAUUACAAUGCUCAUGAUGUUUAUCAUCUUUUACAAGCACUCAAAUCAAUAAUUCUAAAUAUAUAUAUAUAUAAAGAAGCAAUAAAUUACUUUUAAGGGGUGGCUAUGUUUAAAAAUAUUGAUGUACAAAAACUGAAAAAGGAAUAUUGAAAAAUAGUCUUGCUCAAUAUGAUUUUAGGUUUUCUAGUGUAACUCCUCUGUAAAGCUGAAUAUAUCAAUUUAAUUAUAUAAAUGGUAGUUUUAACAGAAUAUUUGUUGUAAAAAGAAAUAUAAACCUUUAUUUAUAGGUGUUUACCUACAUGGAAGAAAAUGGUGGAUGGGCAAAUGGUGUAUUGCUUGGGGAUAGUGGUUAUCCAUGUCGACCAUUUCUGAUGACCCCAUAUCUGAAUCCUGUACUAGAUCAUCAAAACAAGUACAACAAAUGCCACUGUUCAAUAGAAUACCUUUUUAUAUAAUGAUGAGUGAUAAAAAAAAAUCUUUUCAGGGGGCGAGGCUAAUGGGAUAUAUUUGGGACAAUUAAUGUUGGUGUAUUCAGUAGAAACAAACUAUUUUUUUAUAAUGUGACUAAUCUGCUCAUCGUUGAAAGCCGUACUGUGACCUAUAGUUGUUAAUUUCUGUGUCAUUUUUGUCUCUUGUGGAGAGUUGUCUCAUUGGCAAUUAUACCAUAUCUUCUUUUUUAUAUUUGCAUUCAUAUGUUUUACCAAAACGUUUAAUACCCUAAAGUCUGGUACAUAGGGUUCGUUUUUGGGGUGUUUUGGUCCAAACUGACUUAGGGGCCAAAUAGAGGCCAAAACAAGCAUUUUUCUAGUUUUCCAGACAAUUACUUGUUUUUUAUUGUAUGGUUCUCAUCUGAAAUUGUACCACAAGGUUCCAUAUCACAAAUGGAAGUUUGAUAAAAGGGAAAAAAUGUAUUUAGUAUACUGUUGGAAAACUAAAUAAUCCAGCAAUUGAUGUAUAAAAACCUUACCACAAUCAAGAGAUGAAUGGUAAGUGCUACUAACACAACACUUGGACAACAUAAAUUUGAAUCAAUUAAUAUAUAAGUACAACAUCUUUCGAAAUGCUUACCAAAAUGUGAUGCAUGGUAAACAACCAUAGAGACAUUUUAUGUAGUAUUAUUUAUAGCUUACUAUAGGCUCCAAUGUUGAAUAUCAUACUGUAAACUUUUAUAUUUCAUUACUUUAACAACAGAAAAUGGUCUCAUUGGCACUCAUACCUGUGAUCUCACCGUGAGCUUUCUAUUUUUACAUUGUAUAUACAUACAUACAUGCAAUGCCAACUUUUGAAAUAUUAUUAAAUACUACUUUAGCAAAAUGCUGAUAAGAAGACAAUUAUUAAGUGUAACAAAUUAAGAUAUGAUUUUUCAUAUGAAUUUCAGAUAAGAAUGAAACCGGGCAAGGCAUGCAAAAUAAUAAUUGCUUGUGCUAUACUCCACAAUAUAUGCAUUUUGUUGAAUGAACCAGACAUUGAAGAUGAUGGAGUAAUUGUAGGCAAUGAUGGUGAUCUUGGGGAACAUUUCAAUGGUCAUCAAGAUGGAAGAGCUGUUAGAGAUCAUAUUUCCACAACAUUUUUUAAUCAUUGAAAAUCAGAAAUAAAUCAUGACAACAUAUUUUAAUACUUUUUUUAUCAAUAACAAUGGAAUAAGAGAACAAGAAUCAUCAAC
rnacentral:lncRNA from 1 species